rnacentral:tRNA from 1 species
CCCCCUGUAGCUCAGUUGGUUAGAGCAGAGGACUCAUAAUCCUUUGGUCGCCGGUUCAAGUCCGGCUGGGGGGA